GACCCUCCCCAACCCCCCCAUAGCGCACCUGCCCCCAGCAGCCGCUGGCACUGGCCCUCGUAGGUGACGCAGGCCCCGCCGUAGCAGCGCGCCCGCCCGCCGCCGCAGGGCUGCCCAUCCUGCACGAAGGCGUUGGGUGGGCAGCGCCGGGAGCGCCCGUCGCAGAACUCGGGGAGGUCGCACUCGUCCAUGGGCUCCCGGCACGGCUGCCCUGCACGGAGCAGCUGCGGGAGGGCAAAGGGAGAUGAACCGGGACCGGUCGCACCGGCAGCCUGAGAAAAGCAGCUCUGCAACGGGGCUGGGAUGCGGCUGCGGGUGCAGCUGGGCUGGCACACCUGACCCCGUGCACCUGGCCUGCACACCCGUCCCUGCACGCCCAUCCCCAUGCACCUAUCCCUGCACACCCGUCCCCAUGCAUCCAUCCCCAUGCACCUGUCCCUGAACAUCCACCCAUCCCUGCACACCUGACCCCGUGCACCUGGCCUGCACACCCGUCCCUGCACGCCCAUCCCCAUGCCACCACCCCCAUGCACCCGUCCCCAUGCACCCGUCCCCAUGCACCCGUCCCCAUGCAUCCGUCCCCAUGCACACCAGCGCACUCAUCCUUGCACAUCCAUCCCUGCAAAUCUGUCCCUGCACACCCACCUUUGCACACCUGACCCCGUGCACCUGGCCUGCACAUGCAUCCCUGCACGCCCAUCCCCAUGCAACCACCCCAUGCACCCAUCCCUGCACACCUGUCCUUGCACACCCAUCCCCAUGCAACCACCCCCAUGCACACCUGUCCUCAUGCACCUGUCCUGCACACCAGCGCACUCAUCCUUGCACAUCCAUCCCUGCAAACCCAUCCCUGCGCACCUGUCCUGCACAUCUGUCCCAGUGCAACCAUCCCCAUGCACCCAUCCUGCACACCUCUCCCCAUGCAUCCAGCCGUGUACCCAUCCCUGCACACCUGUCCUUGCACACCUGUCCCCAUGCACUCAUCCUUGCACAUCCAUCCCUGCAAAUCCAUCCCUGCACACCCACCUUUGCACACCUGACCCCGUGCACCUGUCCUGCACAUGCACCCAUCCCCGCACACCCGUCCCCGCGCACCCACCCCUUUUGCACUCAUCCUUGCACGCCCACCCUUGCACACCUGGCACUGGUGGCAGCAGGCGUCCCCCGUCGCGCACUCUGCUCCUGGCAGCAGCUGGCAGGAGCUGCUGUUGCAGCAGGGAUCGGUGCACUCCUGCGGGCACGGGGGUCGCGCUGAGCACACGGCGGGCACGGCACCGGCACCGGCACCCACCCGAGGGCCUCUGCCCCCCCCUCCCCGUGCCCACGCACCAGGCUGAGCCCGCAGUCGCAGCUCUCUCCCUGCUCCACGAAGCGGUUCCCGCAGACCGGGGUCCCCGCCAGGCGCUGGGGGUCGGGGGCAUCGUACAGGCACCAGCCCAGCCCCCGCUGCAGGCUGCGCUCCAGCUCCAGGCGGCUGCAGUUGCUGAAGCUCAAACCGGGAGUCAGGCUG
rnacentral:lncRNA from 1 species